ACAGGGAUUGCCCUAGUAACGGCGAGUGAAGCUGCAACAGCUCAAAUUUGAAAUCUGGCUCUCGGGCCCGAGUUGUAAUUUGUAGAGGAUGCUUUUGAUGCGGUGCCUUCCGAGUUCCCUGGAACGGGACGCCAUAGAGGGUGAGAGCCCCGUCUGGUUGGAUGCCAAAUCUCUGUAAAGCUCCUUCGACGAGUCGAGUAGUUUGGGAAUGCUGCUCUAAAUGGGAGGUAUAUGUCUUCUAAAGCUAAAUACCGGCCAGAGACCGAUAGCGCACAAGUAGAGUGAUCGAAAGAUGAAAAGCACUUUGAAAAGAGAGUUAAAAAGUACGUGAAAUUGUUGAAAGGGAAGCGUUUAUGACCAGACUUGGGCUUGGUUAAUCAUCUGGGGUUCUCCCCAGUGCACUUUUCCAGUCCAGGCCAGCAUCAGUUUUCGCCGGGGGAUAAAGGCUUCGGGAAUGUGGCUCCCUCCGGGGAGUGUUAUAGCCCGUUGCGUAAUACCCUGGCGGGGACUGAGGUUCGCGCAUCUGCAAGGAUGCUGGCGUAAUGGUCAUCAACGACCCGUCUUGAAACACGGACCA
rnacentral:rRNA from 1 species